rnacentral:rRNA from 1 species
AUGAACGCUGGCGGCGUGCCUCAUACAUGCCCGUCGAGCGAACGGACGAGAAGCUUGCUUCUCUGAUGUUAGCGGCGGACGGGUGAGUAACACGUGGAUAACCUACCUAUAAGACUGGGAUAACUUCGGGAAACCGGAGCUAAUACCGGAUAAUAUUUUGAACCGCAUGGUUCAAAAGUGAAAGACGGUCUUGCUGUCACUUAUAGAUGGAUCCGCGCUGCAUUAGCUAGUUGGUAAGGUAACGGCUUACCAAGGCAACGAUGCAUAGCCGACCUGAGAGGGUGAUCGGCCACACUGGAACUGAGACACGGUCCAGACUCCUACGGGAGGCAGCAGUAGGGAAUCUUCCGCAAUGGGCGAAAGCCUGACGGAGCAACGCCGCGUGAGUGAUGAAGGUCUUCGGAUCGUAAAACUCUGUUAUUAGGGAAGAACAUAUGUGUAAGUAACUGUGCACAUCUUGACGGUACCUAAUCAGAAAGCCACGGCUAACUACGUG